UACGUAGGGGGCAAGCGUUGUCCGGAUUUAUUGGGCGUAAAGAGCGUGUAGGCGGCUUGGUAGGUCCGCUGUGAAAACUCGAGGCUCAACCUCGAGACGUCGGCGGAAACCAUCUAGCUAGAGUCCGGAAGAGGAGAGCGGAAUUCCUGGUGUAGCGGUGAAAUGCGCAGAUAUCAGGAAGAACACCCGUGGCGAAGGCGGCUCUCUGGGACGGUACUGACGCUGAGACGCGAAAGCGUGGGGAGCGAACAGG
rnacentral:rRNA from 1 species